GAUGAACGCUGGCGGCGUGCCUAAUACAUGCAAGUCGAGCGAACGGACGAGAAGCUUGCUUCUCUGAUGUUAGCGGCGGACGGGUGAGUAACACGUGGAUAACCUACCUAUAAGACUGGGAUAACUUCGGGAAACCGGAGCUAAUACCGGAUAAUAUUUUGAACCGCAUGGUUCAAAGGUGAAAGACGGUCUUGCUGUCACUUAUAGAUGGAUCCGCGCUGCAUUAGCUAGUUGGUAAGGUAACGGCUUACCAAGGCAACGAUGCAUAGCCGACCUGAGAGGGUGAUCGGCCACACUGGAACUGAGACACGGUCCAGACUCCUACGGGAGGCAGCAGUGGGGUAUGUUCCGCAAUGGGCGGAAGCCUGACGGGGCAACGCCGCGUGGGUGAUGAAGGUCUUCGGAUCGUAAAACUCUGUUAUUAGGGAAGAACAUAUGUGUAAGUAACUGUGCACAUCUUGACGGUACCUAAUCAGAAAGCCACGGCUAACUACGUG
rnacentral:rRNA from 1 species